AGUAGUCACCUGAUGGCUCAGCUGAAGAGAGGGCCUCACAUCGUUUGAUUGGACCCAUUGUGUUCGUCUGUGUCUGUGUGAGUAGGAAGGAUUAUAAUCUCUGCCAGCCAGAAUAUACUGAUGAAGAGCUUCGACAGAUAGAAGCCGAGACAGCACGGGGAGAAAUGGCAACAGGUGAUCCGGCAGACCAGCGGCAGGGCCCAGAGAGAGAGUCACGGAACUGGUGGUGUAAAUGUGAAAAAUCAGAGAAAAAUUCAAGAUCAACUGAAAAAAGAGACCACGUCUAGCGGGAUCAAAUGGGCAGCUGUCCAUAGA